UACGGAGGAUCCAAGCGUUAUCCGGAAUCAUUGGGCUUAAAGGGUCCGUAGGCGGUUUUGUAAGUCAGUGGUGAAAGCCCAUCGCUCAACGGUGGAACGGCCAUUGAUACUGCAAGACUUGAAUUAUUAGGAAGUAACUAGAAUAUGUAGUGUAGCGGUGAAAUGCUUAGAGAUUACAUAGAAUACCAAUUGCGAAGGCAGGUUACUGCUAAUGGAUUGACGCUGAUGGACGAAAGCGUGGGGAGCGAACAGG
rnacentral:rRNA from 1 species